rnacentral:rRNA from 1 species
GGCAAUGGGGGCAACCCUGACCGAGCAACGCCGCGUGAGUGAAGAAGGUUUUCGGAUCGUAAAGCUCUGUCGUAAGUCAAGAACGGGUGUGAGAGUGGAAAGUUCACACUGUGACGGUAGCUUACCAGAAAGGGACGGCUAACUACGUGCCAGCAGCCGCGGUAAUACGUAGGUCCCGAGCGUUGUCCGGAUUUAUUGGGCGUAAAGCGAGCGCAGGCGGUUUGAUAAGUCUGAAGUUAAAGGCUGUGGCUCAACCAUAGUUCGCUUUGGAAACUGUCAAACUUGAGUGCAGAAGGGGAGAGUGGAAUUCCAUGUGUAGCGGUGAAAUGCGUAGAUAUAUGGAGGAACACCGGUGGCGAAAGCGGCUCUCUGGUCUGUAACUGACGCUGAGGCUCGAAAGCGUGGGGAGCGAACAGGAUUAGAUACCCUGGUAGUCCACGCCGU